GAUGAACGCUAGCGGCAGGCCUAACACAUGCAAGUCGAGGGGUAGCAGGAUUAAGCUUGCUUAAUUGCUGACGACCGGCGCACGGGUGCGUAACGCGUAUGCAACCUACCUUAUACUGGGGUAUAGCCCGGAGAAAUUCGGAUUAAUCCCCCAUAGUACUAAUGAAUCGCAUGGUUUAUUAGUUAAAGCAUUGCGGUAUAAGAUGGGCAUGCGUCCUAUUAGCAGAUGGUGAGGUAACGGCUCACCAUGGCUACGAUAGGUAGGGGGCCUGAGAGGGUGGUCCCCCACACUGGUACGGAGACACGGACCAGACUCCUACGGGAGGCAGCAGUGAGGAAUAUUGGUCAAUGGGCGCAAGCCUGAACCAGCCAUGCCGCGUGCAGGAAGAAUGCCCUAUGGGUUGUAAACUGCUUUUAUUUGGGAAUAAACCUCUUUACGUGUAGAGAGCUGAAGGUACCAAAUGAAUAAGCACCGGCUAACUCCGUGCCAGCAGCCGCGGUAA
rnacentral:rRNA from 1 species